rnacentral:rRNA from 1 species
AGAGUUUGAUCAUGGCUCAGGGCUAACGCUGGCGGCGUGUCUUAGCCAUGCAAGUCGAGCGGUCCUAUGGGGCGACCUAUAGGAUAGCGGCGGACGGCGGAGUAACACGUAGCUAACCUACCCUCCGGACGGGGAUAACCAUUCGAAAGGGUGGCUAAUACCCGAUGGAGUCAUCCGCAAGGGUGAUGAAAGGUGGGCCUCUGUUUACAAGCUCAUGCCGGGGGAGGGGGCUGCGGCCUAUCAGGUAGUUGGUGGGGUAAAGGCCCACCAAGCCUAUGACGGGUAGCCGGCCUGAGAGGGUGACCGGCCCGAGGGGCACUGAGACACGGGUCCCACUCCUACGGGAGGCAGCAGGCUAGAAAUUUGGGCAAUGGGGGAAACCCUGACCCAGUGACGCCGCGUGCAGGAAGGAGCCCUUCGGGGUGUAAACUGCUGUCGUGCGGGGCGAAGGGUUUAUAGGCGAAUAGUCUAUAGACUUGACGGUACCGCAGGAGGAAGCCCAGGCUAACCUCGUGCCAGCAGCCGCGGUAAUACGGGGUGGGCGAGCGUUGCCCGGAAUUACUGGGUUUAAAGGGGGUGUAGGCGGUCUGGAUAGUCAGGUGUGUAAUCCAAUCGCUCAACGAUUGGACUGCAUCUGAUACUUUCAGGCUAGAGGGCGGUAGAGGAGAGCGGAACUCCCGGUGUAGCGGUGAAAUGCGUAGAUAUCGGGAGGAACGCCGGUGGCGAAAGCGGCUCUCUGGGCCGUUCCUGACGCUGAGACCCGAAAGCUGGGGGAGCGAAAGGGAUUAGAUACCCCUGUAGUCCCAGCCGUAAACGAUGGGCACUAGGUGUGCCUCUAUAUAGGGGUGUGCCGACGGGAAACCAUUAAGUGCCCCACCUGGGAGUACGCCGCAAGGGUGAAACUCAAAUGAAUUGACGG